GAUGAACGCUGGCGGCGUGCCUAAUACAUGCAAGUCGAGCGAACAGACGAGGAGCUUGCUCCUCUAACGUUAGCGGCGGACAGGGGAGUAACACGUGGAUAACCUACCUAUAAGACUGGGAUAACUUCGGGAAACCGGAGCUAAUACCGGAUAAUAUAUUGAACCGCAUGGUUCAAUAGUGAAAGACGGUUUUGCUGUCACUUAUAGAUGGAUCCGCGCCGCAUUAGCUAGUUGGUAAGGUAACAGCUUACCAAGGCAACGAUGCGUAGCCGACCUGAGAGGGUGAUCGGCCACACUGGAACUGAGACACGGUCCAGACUCCUACGGGAGGCAGCAGUAGGGAAUCUUCCGCAAUGGGCGAAAGCCUGACGGAGCAACGCCGCGUGAGUGAUGAAGGUCUUCGGAUCGUAAAACUCUGUUAUUAGGGAAGAACAAAUGUGUAAGUAACUAUGCACGUCUUGACGGUACCUAAUCAGAAAGCCACGGCUAACUACGUG
rnacentral:rRNA from 1 species